AGCAGAUCGCUCACCCGCUCUUCUCGAACGGGCCAAUGUGGACACGAGCCGGUCAGGUAGGCAUACGUUAAAGUUGGUCUUUCACGGGCAGCUGGCCGAGGAUUGUGAAUCACGAUGGCGUCCCUGGUCCACUCUUCGUUUGUGGCGUACGAUUGGUGGUCCAAUGUCUUACGCCGCCGGCCGCAUGACAGCGCAAUCG
rnacentral:lncRNA from 1 species